UACAGAGGGGGCAAGCGUUAUUCGGAAUUAUUGGGCGUAAAGGGCGCGUAGGCGGCCUGGCAAGUGGAAGGUGAAAUCCCUCGGCUUAACCGAGGAACUGCCUCCCAAACUGCUUGGCUUGAGACCAGGAGAGGUGAGUGGAAUUCCCAGUGUAGCGGUGAAAUGCGUAGAUAUUGGGAGGAACACCAGUGGCGAAGGCGGCUCACUGGACCGGUACUGACGCUGAGGCGCGAAAGCGUGGGGAGCAAACGGG
rnacentral:rRNA from 1 species